rnacentral:lncRNA from 1 species
UGCAUCUUCCUUCGCUAUAAUUAACAGUAAAACAAUGAAAUUGUUGUAUAAGAAUUUAAAUUUUUUCUGACUACACAGUAAAAUCAUUUGAAAGGAUUUGCAUCAUGAACCUUUCAGACAUUUGAAGUUAUUCACAUUGAAUUGUCAUCUAAUCAGAAAGAGGUAUCAAUAAAAACACUGUAGGGUAUUUAAUCUAAAUGUAACCACAUUAAAUUUAAUCGUAUAGUUUUGCAAUUAUUUGUGGCUAUAUCUACUUAAGACCAUAAGCAGGUCUUCUUUAAUUUUCUAUUCCUAAUGCCAAUGAUAAUGCUGGAUACCUAAUUAAUGCUCAAUAUAUGCUCACUGCAAAGAACCAAACAAGGAAAAUACCAACUAAGAAAUGCUUUGCAGUGUAACAUAAACAUUUUCUUUGAAUGCUAAAUAUAUUUUGAAAUUACAAAAUCAGACAAGAGACAAAAUUAAGAAACGUUAAUAUCAAUUAGACUAAGAUGCUUCUUAAGCAUAAACAGACUAUUCAAAUCACAUAAGGGCUUUUUUUUGAUUACUGGAAAAUGUCUUAUGUGGAAGAACAUUAAAGACAGAAGCUACCUAUUACCACACCCAAAUACC